CUACAUAGUAAAACGCAUUGCUCGAUGAUUCAGAUUGAAUUAGACAAUGAAAAAAAAAAAAAAAAGUGAUUUUUCCCAUUUGUUUUCCUCUUCCAGGAUCAACUUUUAAGCAGAAGUCUGUAUCAGCACAAUUGGGUGGAACAAAUAGCAGGGAUGAGAGAGCAAGAACAAGCAAUAAGGAAAUCUUCACUGUAAAUUUCCUUCAGCAACCACAUAACCUGGGGAACCUCAACAUAAACAGUCUUUGGGUACAUCUGCUGCUUCAGGAUGGCCUCUGUGUUGCACUGAGCAUGUGGUGGUCAAUUUUUUUCUUAACUUGA
rnacentral:lncRNA from 1 species